UGUUCAUGGAGUGGAGAUGACAGGCACAUUAUGACUGGCUCUUACAAUAAUUUCUAUCGGAUGUUCGACCGUGAAGCCAAAAGGGACACAACUUUGGAAGCAUGUAGAGAAAACAUGAAACCAAGGACAAUUCUAAAACCGCGUAAAGUGUGCACUGGUGGUAAGAGGAAAAAGGAAGAGAUUAAUGUGGACUGUCUAGACUUCAAUAAAAAGAUUCUACACACAGCCUGGCACCCCCUAGAAAACAUCCUGGCUGUGGCAGCCACCAAUAAUCUAUAUAUCUUCCAAAGUAAAGAUUAACGCAAUUAUCAUUAGGUUAAUUUAACAAAUUCAGUGCUGGCAUGGUGGUGCACAGGAAAGGUUGCUGCUUUCUGAUGGCUCUUUGAUGCGAAGGACAAUGAGAAAAGGAACAAGUGAGAAACCGUAGAGCAAUAUUUUUGUACACAUUUUUAGUUGUGAUGAUGGCAUUCUGAUUCACAGAUUUUUUUCUGUGACAUGAGUUGUUGUUCAAAUUUGCAUUAAUGAAAACUGUAGUGCUAUGAACUUCCAGGUGGCAACAAGACUGUACUGUACAUCAUUUUGGAUCUGUCUGUUCUAGUUGUCUGAUGCCUUCCUAUGUAUGUCUGUGUCCAUGGUGCGUUUUGUAUUCUUGCAUUGUCUGUAGUUUGUGGGUAGACCAUCUAGUCACUGUCCCCUACUACACACCCAACACAGGCAUUUACUGGAUACAGGUGCAAUAGAAAUGCCACGUCUCCAAUCCAACAACAAAAGUGAUGCAUCACUAACCUUACAUUCCUACAUACUGAUCACACUAGACUGCAUUCUGAUCUUGCCAUACUGAUGUUAAGUGCUAAUAUUUUGAAUUUAUUUGCUCAUAGAUGCUCAAUAUGUGCUGGCAUUCAUAAAAGCAAACACUUGUUUGUAAUGUUUUAUUUUUUCAAAAAGGCAUCAGUUGCUGCAGUAUAUAUUUACAAAUUUUAAAUAGAAAAAAUAACUUGCUUUGAUGUACUGUAAAGUCUAUCAUUCCAUGAGUUAGAUACAAUCAUACACUGUUUCUCUCCACGGCCUGCAAGUCUCCAGGACUUGGCAUCAGAAUACUCCAUGCUUUUUCUAAUUUCUUACUUGUUAGAAGAAAAUUGAGCAUUAUAUGUGAUGAAUCAAAUGUAAUGAAAGUACAGGUCAUUUGUAAACUACAUGUAUGUGUUCUGACAUUGUUCUUGCUGUAUUAGUACAAUUAUGUCAAUGAUGUCAGGUUAUGUAAUGGCCUGAAGAAAUGUUAUUUAAUAUUAAAAACAUUGUUACUAU
rnacentral:misc_RNA from 1 species